AACGUGCAAAGUGCUCUGCAUGGGAUAGGAUUCCGAAGCCACUAUGAGGGAUAAAAUAGGCUCUCCUAUCCAACUCCCAUCCGGACACGUCCCAGUUCGUGCAGAGUGGUAACGUGGGUCAUCGAAUAUCCAAGCUUGGGUACACUGGCCUGUUCCAACCCCAACCUUGGGCGGAUGAUGGUUCAUGGCUAAUCAGGAGGGG
rnacentral:ribozyme from 1 species